CCUUACUUGAAGCAAGUAAUGCAGAGCUACAACAUGAGCUUAAAAGACGCCAGUUAACGUCUGAGAAUUUUGCCCAACGUGCUCUUGAGACCCAGGUUGAAAGGGACCAACUGCUUUUGAAAAUAGAAUCAAUUCGAAAUGGUAAAUCAUGGGAGGAGAUUGACUCAAAUUCGAAUCAGGAUUAUGCCCUACUGAAAUCUUAUGUUUCAAAGAUCCAAGAUCUGGAAGGAGAAUUGCUUCGAUUGAAAACUUCGAAUGCAACAAAUUCAAGUCAUUUUGUUGAUUGUUUUGAUUCUGAUGACGAUGGAUAUGGAUCAAAACAUGCUUUAUUCGCACCUGGUUUGUUUACUUCUGACUGUGAUGUUAAAGCUGUUACGGAGGAUAUAGUGCGUUGGG
rnacentral:sRNA from 1 species